GACGAACGCUGGCGGCGCGCCUAAUACAUGCAAGUCGAGCGAAGUUUUUCUGGUGCUUGCACUAGAAAAACUUAGCGGCGAACGGGUGAGUAACACGUAAAGAACCUGCCUCAUAGACUGGGACAACUAUUGGAAACGAUAGCUAAUACCGGAUAACAGCAUUAACUGCAUGGUUGAUGUUUGAAAGUUGGUUUUGCUAACACUAUGAGAUGGCUUUGCGGUGCAUUAGCUAGUUGGUGGGGUAAAGGCCUACCAAGGCGACGAUGUAUAGCCGACCUGAGAGGGUGAUCGGCCACACUGGGACUGAGACACGGCCCAGACUCCUACGGGAGGCAGCAGUAGGGAAUCUUCCGCAAUGGGCGAAAGCCUGACGGAGCAACGCCGCGUGAGUGAAGAAGGAUUUCGGUUCGUAAAGCUCUGUUGUUAGGGAAGAAUGAUUAUGUAGUAACUAUACAUAGUAGAGACGG
rnacentral:rRNA from 1 species